rnacentral:rRNA from 1 species
AUUGAACGCUGGCGGCGUGCCUAACACAUGCAAGUCGAGCGGUAACAGGUGUAGCAAUACAUGCUGACGAGCGGCGGACGGGUGAGUAACGCUUGGGAAUCUGCCUAUUAGUGGGGGACAACCCGGGGAAACUCGGGCUAAUACCGCAUACGCACUACGGUGGAAAGCCGGGGACCGCAAGGCCUGGCGCUAACAGAUGAGCCCAAGUCGGAUUAGCUAGUUGGUAGGGUAACGGCCUACCAAGGCGACGAUCCGUAACUGGUCUGAGAGGACGACCAGUCACACCGGAACUGAGACACGGUCCGGACUCCUACGGGAGGCAGCAGUGGGGAAUAUUGGACAAUGGGCGAAAGCCUGAUCCAGCGACGCCGCGUGGGUGAAGAAGGCCUGCGGGUUGUAAAGCCCUUUCAGUGGGGAAGAAAAGCCUCGAGCUAACACCUCGGGGUCUUGACGUAACCCAUAGAAGAAGCACCGGCUAACUCUGUGCCAGCAGCCGCCGUAAG